UGCCAAGGCCUGGCGGCGUGCUUACACAUGCAAGUCGAACGGAAAGGCCCUGCUUGCAGGGUACUCGAGUGGCGAACGGGUGAGUAACACGUGGGUGAUCUGCCCUGCACUUCGGGAUAAGCCUGGGAAACUGGGUCUAAUACCGGAUAGGAGCCAUUUUUAGCGUGAUGGUUGGAAAGUUUUUUCGGUGUAGGAUGAGCUCGCGGCCUAUCAGCUUGCUGGUGGGGUAAUGGCCUACCAAGGCGGCGACGGGUAGCCGGCCUGAGAGGGUGGACGGCCACAUUGGGACUGAGAUACGGCCCAGACUCCUACGGGAGGCAGCAGUGGGGAAUAUUGCACAAUGGGCGCAAGCCUGAUGCAGCGACGCCGCGUGGGGGAUGACGGCCUUCGGGUUGUAAACUCCUUUCGCUAGGGACGAAGCUUUUGUGACGGUACCUAGAUAAGAAGCACCGGCUAACUACGUGCCAGCAGCCGCGGUAAUACGUAGGGUGCGAGCGUUGUCCGGAAUUACUAGGCGUAAAGGGCUCGUAGGUGGUUUGUCGCAUCGUCUGUGAAAUUCCGGGGCUUAACUCCGGGCGUGCAGGCGAUACGGGCAUAACUUGAGUACUGUAGGGGUAACUGGAAUUCCUGGUGUAGCGGUGAAAUGCGCAGAUAUCAGGAGGAACACCGAUGGCGAAGGCAGGUUACUGGGCAGUUACUGACGCUGAGGAGCGAAAGCAUGGGUAGCGAACAGGAUUAGAUACCCUGGUAGUCCAUGCCGUAAACGGUGGGCGCUAGGUGUGAGGGUCUUUUCACGACUUUCGUGCCGUAGCUAACGCAUUAAGCGCCCCGCCUGGGGAGUACGGCCGCAAGGCUAAAACUCAAAUGAAUUGACGGAAGGC
rnacentral:rRNA from 1 species